rnacentral:rRNA from 1 species
GAGCAGAUAGAGUUGACGUAUCUAGUAUGUAUUCAGUUUUCGGGCURGGCAAUUUGGGUUGUAAAGUUCUGCAAAGUCUUUUAUUCUCAUUGUUGUUUAGUUUGUAAAUGCAUUUGCAUACCGAGUGCGCCGAAUCGGUUGAAUUUGCCGUUUGAUAAUUUUAUAGAGGACUAACUUGUUGGAAACCUGUAAAAMYUUWWKRACGGAUGAAUUUGGCUGUCAAAUUGAGUUGGUUUUUCGYGAUAAUAGUUGUGAAUUGGAGUUGUUUUUGUACGAUGCAUGCGUUUUGCAGUUAUGGCUUUAGUUCRCAACCCUUAUUGCUCUGCUCUUUAUUCGGUGUUUAGUCAAUCACCUACCUGACCCGUCUUGAAACACGGACCAAGGAGUUUAAGGUGUACGCAAGUCAUUGAUUGUUKAAAGUCAUAGGCGUAAUGAAAGUGGGACACUUGGUGUCUGUGAUGUGAGCUUUUUUUGUUUCGACGAACUAAGCGCAACAUCGACCCAUGACUAGGGCUUGCUCUGUUGUGGAGUCUGAGCGUACGCUUUG